rnacentral:rRNA from 1 species
GGAUGCUCCAGUUGAUCGCAUGGUCUUCUGGGAAAGCUUUCGCGGUAUGGGAUGGGGUCGCGUCCUAUCAGCUUGACGGCGGGGUAACGGCCCACCGUGGCUUCGACGGGUAGCCGGCCUGAGAGGGCGACCGGCCACAUUGGGACUGAGAUACGGCCCAGACUCCUACGGGAGGCAGCAGUGGGGAAUAUUGCACAAUGGGCGCAAGCCUGAUGCAGCGACGCCGCGUGAGGGAUGGAGGCCUUCGGGUUGUAAACCUCUUUUAUCGGGGAGCAAGCGAGAGUGAGUUUACCCGUUGAAUAAGCACCGGCUAACUACGUGCCAGCAGCCGCGGUAAUACGUAGGGUGCAAGCGUUAUCCGGAAUUAUUGGGCGUAAAGGGCUCGUAGGCGGUUCGUCGCGUCCGGUGUGAAAGUCCAUCGCUUAACGGUGGAUCCGCGCCGGGUACGG